rnacentral:tRNA from 1 species
GGCGCUAUAGUGUAGUGGUCAUCACACGGGAUUUUGAAGCAUCUCGUCUUCCCGAAACCCAGGUUCGAACCCUGGUAGUGCCU